rnacentral:lncRNA from 1 species
AAAAUGUGUGCAAAUGUUGUAAAAAGGAUGUAGAAAGUGUACAAAGGGUGUACGCCCAUUCUACAUCUUUCUACAAAAUAUGUAGAAAGACUAUAGAAGGGUGUACAAAUGGUAUAAAAAGUGUAUACAAAGGCUGUAGAAAUGUUGUACAAAGUGCGUACAAAGGCCCUAAAAAGGAUGUCGAAAAUGUGUUGAAAGGGUGUAGAAAGAUUGUAGAAAUGGUGUCAAAAAUGUGUUGAAAGUGUGUAGAAAGAUUGUAGAAAUGGUGUAGAAAGGGUGUAGAAAGGUUGCAUAAGUGGUGUACAAAUAGUGUAUAAAGGAUAGAGAAAGGGUUUAUAAAGGGUUCAUAAAGGGUAUACAAAGAUGUAAAAAGAUGUAGAAAAUGUGUACAAAAGGUGUAUAAAGAAUGUACAAAUUUCUACAAAGGGUGUAGAAAGGUGUACAGGGGGUGUACAAAGGGUGUACAAAGGUUAUAUAAAGGGUGUACAAAGAUGAUGAAAAAUGUAGAAAAGGUGUACAAAGGGUGUACACUUAUUCUGCAUCAAUCAACAAAAUAUGUAUAAAGAUUGUAGAAGGGUGUACAAAAGGUAUAAAAAGUAUAUAAAAAGGGUUUAGAAAGGGUGUAGAAAGGGUGUAAAAAAGGGUGUGCAAAGGAUCUAUAAAGGGUGUACAAAGGGUAUACACCCAUUCUACAUAUUUCUAAAAAAUAUGUAGUGAGGUUGUAAAAGAAUGUACAAAGCGAAUACAAAGGGUGUCAAAAGGUUGUAAAAACAGUGUCAAAAGAGUGUAAAAAUUGUUUAUAUUGGGUGUACAAAGGGUGUAGUAAGGGUGAAAGUUGGUUUUAGAAAUGAUGUAGAUAGAUGUAGAAAUGGUGUAGAAAGGGCGUAGAAAAGGUGUACUAAGGCUAUAUAAAGUGUGUACAAAGGGUGUAUAAAGGUUGUAUAAAGGGUGUGCAACCAUUCUACAUCUUUCUACAAAAUAUGUAGAAAUGUUGUAAAAGGGUAUAGAAAUGGUGUAGAAAGAACACAGAAAAGGUAUAGAAAGGGUGUACAAAGUGUGUACAAAAGUUUUAGAAGGGUGUACAAGGGGUGUACAAAAGUUGUACUUAUGGUGUACAAAAAUGUUAACAAAUAUAGAAAAGGUUUACAAAUUGUGUUGAAAGGGUGUACAAAGGGUGUGCAAUAGGUGUAUAAAGGAUGUUCAAUGGGUGUACACCCGUUCUACAUCUUUCUGCAAUAUACAUAGAAAGGUUGGGGAAGGGUGUACACAGGGUAUACAUAGGAUAUACAAAGGGUUUAGAAAAGGGUGUACAAAAGGUGUAUAAAAUGUCUACAAAAGGUGUACAAAGAGUGUAAAAAUGGUUAUUGAAUGUUUCAAGAAGGCUGUUUCGGUGAUAGAGAUACGAAGGAGGAUGAAAUAACCUUGGUUGGGGAGAGAAAAAGAUGGCUGUAACAACAAAGGAAAGUGAAAAAAAGUGCAGCCAGGCCAGCACAGAGUUAACUCCGUUUAUGCUAAUUUAACGGAGGGGACUUGAUUUAUACAAUUUUUACAACUUUAGAACUCAAUAGAUUCAUUUUUAAAACUGGGUACUAAACACAAAUUCACCUCUUAACAUGGGGACAAAGUCAACAUUUAAGCCUAAAAAAUAUAGAAAAGGUUUACAAAGAGUGUAAAAAGGGGGUACAAUAGGUGUAUAAAGAGUGUUCAACGGGUGUACACCCAUUCUACAUCUUUCUGCAAAAUACCUAGUAAGAUUGUGGAAGGGUGUACAAAGGGUAUACAAAGGAUAUAUAAAGGGUUUAGAAAAGGUGUAGAAAGGGUUUGGAAAUGGUGUACAAAGAUGUAGAAAGAUGUAGAAAGGAUGUACAAAGGGUGUAUAAAGGGUGUACAAAGGGUAUACACCCAUUCUACAUCUUUCUACAAAAUAUGUAGAAGAGUUGUAGAAGAGUGUACAAAUAAUAUACAAUGUUUAAAAAAGGGUAUAGAAAUGGUGUAGAAAGGGUGGAGGAAGGGUGUGCGAAGUGUGUACAAAUGGUGUAGAAAGGUUGUAGAAAAGGUGUAUAUAGGUUAUAAAAAUAGUGUAGAAAGUGUGUACAAAGGCUGUAUCAAGGGUGUACAAAGGGUGUACACCUAUUCUACAUCUUGCUACAAAAUAUGUAGAAGNNNNNNNNNNNNNNNNNNNNNNNNNNNNNNNNNNNNNNNNNNNNNNNNNNNNNNNNNNNNNNNNNNNNNNNNNNNNNNNNNNNNNNNNNNNNNNNNNNNNNNNNNNNNNNNNNNNNNNNNNNNNNNNNNNNNNNAAAGGUUAUAAAAAUAGUGUAGAAAGUGUGUAUAAAGGUUGUAUCAAGGGUGUACAAAGGGUGUACACCUAUUCUACAUCUUGCUACAAAAUAUGUAGAAGGGUUGUAGAAUGGGGUGUACAAAGGGUAUACAAAUGAUAUACAAUGGGUGUAGAAAAUGUGUACAAUGAGUUUAGAAACGAAGUACAAGGAUGUUGAAAGAUGUAGAAAAUGUGUGCAAAUGUUAUAAAAAGGAUGUAGAAAGUAUACAAAGGGUGUAUGCCCAUUCUACAUCUUUCUACAAAAUAUGUAGAAAGACUGUAGAAGGGUGUACAAAUGGUAUAAAAGGGGUAUACAAAGGCUGUAGAAAUGUUGUACAAAGUGUGUACAAAGGGCCUAAAAAGGAUGUCGAAAAUGUGUUGAAAAGGUGUAGAAAGAUUGUAGAAAUGGUGUAGAAAGGGUGCAUAAAUGGUGUAAAAAUAGUGUAUAAAGGAUAUAGAAAAGUUUUAUAAAGGGUUUAGAAAGGGUAUACAAAGAUGUAAAAAGAUGUAGAAAAUGUGUACAAAAGGUGUAUAAAGGAUGUACAAAUUUCUACAAAGGGUGUAGAAGGGUGUACAGGUGGUGUACAAAGGUUGUACAAAGGGUGUACAAAGAUGUUGAAAAAUGUAGAAAAGGUGUACAAAGGGUGUACACUUAUUCUGCAUCAAUCAACAAAAUAUGUAUAAAGGUUGUAGAAGGGUGUACAAAAAGUAUAAAAAGGAUAUACAAAAGGUUUAUAAAGGGUGUAGAAAGGGUUUAAAAAAGGGUGUAAAAAGGGUGUGCAAAGGGUCUAUAAAGGGUGUACAUAGGGUAUACACCCAUUCUACAUAUUUCUAAAAAAUAUGUAGUGAGGUUGUAGAAGAGUGUACAAAACGAAUACAAAGGGUGUCAAAAGGUUGUAAAAAGAGUGUAAAAAAUGUUUAUAUUGGGUGUACAAAGGGUGUAGUAAGGGUGAAAGUUGGUUUUAAAAUGAUGUAGAUAGAUGUAGAAAUGGUGUAGAAAGGGUGUAGAAAAGGUGUACUAAAGCUAUAUAAAGUGUGUACAAAGGGUAGAAAGAUGUAGAAAAAGCGUACAAAGGGUGUAUAAAGGUUGUAUUAAGGGUGUACAACCAUUCUACAUCUUUCUACAAAAUAUGUAGAAAUGUUGUAAAAGGGUAUACAAAUGGUGUAGAAAGGAUGCAGAAAAGGUAUAGAAAGGGUGUACAAAGUGUGUACAAAAGGUUUAGAAGGGUGUACAAGGGGUGUACAAAAGUUGUACUUAUGGUGUACAAAAAUGUUAACAAAUAUAGAAAAAUUUUACAAAUUGUGUUGAAAGAGUGUACAAAGGGUGUGCAAUAGGUGUAUAAAGGAUGUUCAAUGGGUGUACACCCGUUCUACAUCUUUCUCCAAAAUACAUAGAAAGGUUGUGGAAGGGUGUACACAGGGUAUACAAAGGAUAUACAAAGGGUUUAGAAAAGGGUGUACAAAAGGUGUAUAAAAGGUCUACAAAAGGUGUACAAAGAGUNUAAAAAUGGNGUAUAAAAGGUGUACAAAGGGUGUAUACCCAUUCUACAUCUUUUUACAAAAUAUUUAGAUAGGCCGACUGAGGGGUGUACAAAGAUGUAAAAAAAUGUAGAAAGGUUGUACAAAUGGUGUACAAAGGAUGUACAAAAGGUUUAAAAAGAUNUANAAAGAUGUAGAAACNGUGUAUAAAAGGUAUACAAAGAAUGUAAAAAAUGUGUUCAAAUGAUGUACAAAGGGUUUAUAAAGGGUGUAUAAAGGGUUUACAAAGGGUAUACAUCCAUUCUACAUCUUUUUACAAAGUAUGCAUAAAGGCUGUAAUAGGGAGUACAAAUGGUGUAUAAAGGGUAAAAAAAAGUGUAGGAAGAGUGUACAAAGGGGGUUAAAAUUGUGUAAAAAUAGUGUAUAAAAGGUGUAUAAAGGGUGUACAAAUGGUGUAUAAAGGGUAUACAAGGGUGUACAAAGGGUGUACAACUAUUCUACAUCUUUUUACAAAAUAUGUAGAAGGGUUGUAGAUGGGUGUACAAAGGGUAUACAAAGAUAUAGAAAAAUGUAGAAAGGUGUAGAAAGGAUUUAGAAAGGGAGUACAAAGAUGUAGAAAGUUGUACAAAGUGUNUACAAAGUGUGUACAAAGAGUGUAAAAAAGAUGUACAAAUGGUGUUUAAAGGGUGUACAGAGGGUGUACAAAGGGUGUACAAAGGGUUUACAAAGGGUGAAUAAAGUGUUUAUAAAGGAUGUACAAAUGAUGUACAAAAGGUAUACAAAGGUUGUAUAAAAGGUGUAUAAAGGGUGUACGCUCACUCUACAUCUUUUUACAAGAUAUGUAUAAAUGCUGCAGAAGGGUGUACAAAUAGUAUGUAUAUAAAGUGUAUAAAAAGGGUGUAGAAAUAAUGUACAAAAGAUGUACAAAGAUUGUACAUAAGGUGUACAAAGAUUGUAUAAAAGGUGUACAACCAUUCUAAAUCUUUUUACAGAAUAUGUANAAAGACUACAAAAGAGUGUGCAAAAAGUAGAAAAGGUGUAGAAACGGUGUACAAAGUGUGUAAAAAGGGUGUACAAAAGGUGUAUAAAGGAUGUACAAAGGGUGUACACCCAUUCUCUAUCUUUUUACAAAAUAUGUAAAAAGUCAACAGAAGGAUGUACAGAGUGUAAAAAGAUGUACAAAGGGUGUACAAUGGGUGUACAGAGGGUGUACAAGGUAUUAGAAAGAUGUAGAAAGUGUGUACAUAGGGUCUAAAAAGGAUGUACAAAGGGUGUACAAAGGGUGUAAAAAUAUGUAGAUAGGUGUACAAAAGAUAUACAAAGGUUUUACAAAGGGUGUAUAAAGAAUGUACCAAAAGGUGUACAAAGGGUUUAUAAAUGGUGUACAAAGGGUGUAUAAAGGAUGUACAAAUGGCUUAUAAANGAUGUAUAAAGGGUGUACAAAUGAUGUACAAAGGGUAUACAGAUG